rnacentral:rRNA from 1 species
AUACGGAGGGGGCUAGCGUUGUUCGGAAUUACUGGGCGUAAAGCGUACGUAGGCGGACUGAUCAGUUGGGGGUGAAAUCCCAGGGCUUAACCCUGGAACUGCCUUCAAUACUGUCAGUCUCGAGAUUGGAAGAGGUGAGUGGAAUUCCUAGUGUAGAGGUGAAAUUCAUAGAUAUUAGGAGGAACACCAGUGGCGAAGGCGGCUCACUGGUCCAAUACUGACGCUGAGGUACGAAAGCGUGGGGAGCAAACAGGAUUAGAAACCCUGGUAGUCC